UACGAAGGGGGCUAGCGUUGCUCGGAAUCACUGGGCGUAAAGGGUGCGUAGGCGGGUCUUUAAGUCAGGGGUGAAAUCCUGGAGCUCAACUCCAGAACUGCCUUUGAUACUGAGGAUCUUGAGUUCGGGAGAGGUGAGUGGAACUGCGAGUGUAGAGGUGAAAUUCGUAGAUAUUGGGAGGAACACCGGUGGCGAAGGCGGCCCUCUGGACCGAAACUGACACUGAAGCGCGAAAGCUAGGGGAGCAAACGGG
rnacentral:rRNA from 1 species